rnacentral:rRNA from 1 species
UGCGCAGGCGGAAUGAUAAGUCAGUGGUGAAAUCCUACGGCUCAACUGUAGAACUGCCAUUGAUACUGUCGUUCUUGAGUACACUUGGAGUGGGCGGAAUGUGUCAUGUAGCGGUGAAAUGCUUAGAUAUGACACAGAACACCGAUCGCGAAGGCAGCUCACUAAAUUGUAACUGACGCUCAGGCACGAAAGCGUGGGGAUCAAACA